rnacentral:sRNA from 1 species
AUUCUGCCCAAGCGGGGAAGGAUGAGAAGCUUCGACCAAGGUUCGACUCGAGCGCCAGCGAGAGAGCGUUGCCGCAGGCAACGACCCAAAGGGCGAAGCGCGCAGCGCUGAGUAAUCCUUCCCCCACCACCA